rnacentral:tRNA from 1 species
AUUUAAAUAGUUUAAUUAAAAUAUUGAUUUGUGAUAUCAGAGAUAAGAAUUUCUUUUUAGAUU